rnacentral:rRNA from 1 species
GUCUAAUCUGCCCACUGAUAAAUUAAAUGGCCGCAGUAUUCUAACUGUGCAAAGGUAGCAUAAUCAUUAGUCUUUUAAUUGAAGGCUUGUAUGAAUGAUUGAACGAAGUAUUAACUGUUUCAUUUAAAUUUAUAUUAGAAUUUUAUUUUUUAGUUAAAAAGCUAAAAUAUUAUUAAAAGACGAGAAGACCCUAUAAAUCUUUAUAUUUAUAAAUUUUUAUUUUUUUAGAUUAUUUUUACUAUAAAUUUUAUAAUAUUUUAUUGGGGUGAUAUUAAAAUUUAACAAACUUUUAAUUUUAACAAACAUUUAUUUAUGAAUAAUUGAUCUAUUACUAAUAAUUAAAAAUUUAAGUUACUUUAGGGAUAACAGCGUAAUUUUUUUGGAGAGUUCUUAUCGAUAAAAAAGAUUGCGACCUCGAUGUUGGAUUAAAGAAUAAUUUUAGAUGCAGAAGUUUAAAUAUU